rnacentral:lncRNA from 1 species
CCCUCGUAUCCCCUCCUGCUUGGCCCAAGGUUCCUCUGCCUGAGGUGUGUUUUCCUCUUUGUUUGUUUGGUGAUCACCUACUUGUCCUUCCAGUCACAGCUCCACUCGUGCUCUCCUGUGAAACCACCCUUGACCACACCCCAGCAAGCUGGGCAGGAUAACAUGGUGAAGUUGGUCUUGAGGCUCUCACUCCCAAGAAACUGGACCUCCUUCCAACCCAGGCUUGUCCUGCCUGCCCCGCAGACUUACUGAGCACCUACUGUAUGCCAGACGGAGCAGCUGCUGCCCCUCUGCCACCAGAUCGAGAUCCUGCUCCUAGACAUGUGCCCCAAGGAGGAACCCAGGAACCUUUAGCUCCUAGGAAUGAGUGGUAAAUUUUCAAACACCAAGAAGCCUAGCAAAAAAAAGGGCUGCUUUAGACAGUUGGGGUAUAUCAAAAGGAGAAAUAGCAUCAACUUUGCCAUCACCUAGACCUGGGUUCAAGUCUCUGUUCAGGCCAUUGACUGGUACGCAACCAUGACCUUGGACAAAUCACUUUACCUCCCUGAGCCUCCAUUUCUUCAUCUGUAGAAUGGGGAUAAAUAGCCUCUGCUUUACAGGGGUGCUGUAAGGAUCUGAGAUGGAGACUCUACAGUGCCUGGCAUCUAGUAAGUGCUUAAUGAGUGCAGACCCAAAACGUGAUGGAGGUCAUGUAUUCUGCCUUUCCAGAAUGGAGCCCAGGUCCCCUAGGGUACAGGAGAGGGUUUCCCUGAGAAGUUCCCAAAGUGCCCAGCCUUGCUUUUCCCCUUCACCCUGGAAGGAAACCCCCUUGGGCUCCAGUUCCCCUGCAGUCCUCCACCCGUCCUGAGGCUGUUGCAACCUCCCACCAAGUAGCCGGCUCAGCCCUGCCAGCCUACCUCCCCAGCUCCUGUAGAACAAUUUCCGCCCAUGAAAUUCUCUCCAUCACCUUGCCCCCUUUCUUCUGUAGAAACCUAGAGAUGCAAAUGCAAGGAUGGGGCGAUGUCUACCACAGACUCAUGAUCAUAACUACUCACUUCCCCCUGCACACCCUGAAUCGCUACAUUCUCCCAGACCUUUGUACAGCAGGUGCUACAUCCCCAAGCCCUGGCUACACACCUCACCACACUGAGGGCCUACACACCACUUUCUUUUUUUCUUUACAGCAAUUACCACCAGC